CCUUGCUACUCGGGCUACGGCCGAGGGUGAUGUCCAGUAUAUAGUCCCUAGAGGUAGGCUGAAGCAAAGGGAGUUAAGGGAGCUGUUGUGCUAAGUGAUUUCUUGGUAUUUGAGAGAGAGAGAGAGAGAGAGAGAGAGAAAGCAAAUAAAGGGGAGUAUCUUUACUUCUGGAAUUGAAGCAGCAAACUUGGAGGUUGGCAUCCUGGAGGCCUGCGGGCUGAGGAGGAAGGCCUAAACUGAGCUGAAUUCCGGCUGAUAGGAGUUGCUGUGUAAAUUGGUUCAGCAUCCAAUUAGACUGAAGUUGGGACUUGUGGAGCUACUGAAUUAGGACUGCAGCUGAGGAAAGCUUUGAUGUAAAAUUCUGAUGGCUAAAGCUGAAAACAAAUUGAAGGAAUACUCAGUUAAGGACUUGUAAUUAAGAGAAUUAAUGGCAGCCUUGAUGUUUGGAGUUGCCGAGUCGACAUCUCGGGUGAGUGGACCAGAGAGCUAGCUAGGAGAAUACUUUAAGUAAGUAGCAGAAUUGGAACUUCGAGCAGAUUGAAGUUAUCAAAUUGGGAUUUCAGCUAAAGGAAAUUGGGAAGAUAAGGAAUUGAAAAAGGAAAAGAGAGUGUGGUGCUGAAAUCAUGAUGCAGAAUCCAUUGUAAGCUGAAAUCAAGUUGGUGCUGAAGUCAACUUGAUAAAAAUCCUGGAUGCUUGGCCGAAUUGAUGACCAGCAGGAAUUUCAGGGAGAAAAUGGAGCUUGAGCUGACCAAAGUUUAGAUUUGGGGCUAUUGAGCAGGGAACCAGCUAAGAGAAAGAACUCUUGAGCAUUGGUACAGCUAGUGAGGUCGACGACGCGCUAAUUACGGUAGAGGCCGUUCUAGUUCUAUUUGCGCUGGGUCGCGAGAGAUAGUUGUCGACGCAUACCGAGACAUUGAUCUUAGUUAUUGACACCACUACAUGUUCCAGUGCAAGCGGUGUGGCCGAAGAUCGUUGCAAGAGCCCCGCAGCUUAGCUAGUUGACACCAGAGUAUAGCAGUUUACCAUUUUGGUUUUCAUGUUACACAUUUUGAUGUACAGAAACUUGUAAAUGAGUGUAUAAAGAGCAUGUAAAUAACUAAAUGUUUCAGUUAUGUAUAUUCAGUUUAAAAGUUUUAAAUUACAGUGAAUUUCAG